AUUGAACGCUGGCGGCAUGCCUUACACAUGCAAGUCGAACGGCAGCACGGGUGCUUGCCCCUGGUGGCGAGUGGCGAACGGGUGAGUAAUACAUCGGAACAUGUCCUGUAGUGGGGGAUAGCCCGGCGAAAGCCGGAUUAAUACCGCAUACGAUCUACGGAUGAAAGCGGGGGACCUUCGGGCCUCGCGCUAUAGGGGUGGCCGAUGGCUGAUUAGCUAGUUGGUGGGGUAAAGGCCUACCAAGGCGACGAUCAGUAGCUGGUCUGAGAGGACGACCAGCCACACUGGGACUGAGACACGGCCCAGACUCCUACGGGAGGCAGCAGUGGGGAAUUUUGGACAAUGGGCGAAAGCCUGAUCCAGCAAUGCCGCGUGUGUGAAGAAGGCCUUCGGGUUGUAAAGCACUUUUGUCCGGAAAGAAAUCCUUGGCCCUAAUACGGUCGGGGGAUGACGGUACCGGAAGAAUAAGCACCGGCUAACUACGUG
rnacentral:rRNA from 1 species